GACGAACGCUGGCGGCGUGCUUAACACAUGCAAGUCGAACGGAAAGGCCCUGCUUUUGUGGGGUGCUCGAGUGGCGAACGGGUGAGUAACACGUGAGUAACCUGCCCUUGACUUUGGGAUAACUUCAGGAAACUGGGGCUAAUACCGGAUAGGAGCUCCUGCUGCAUGGUGGGGGUUGGAAAGUUUCGGCGGUUGGGGAUGGACUCGCGGCUUAUCAGCUUGUUGGUGGGGUAGUGGCUUACCAAGGCUUUGACGGGUAGCCGGCCUGAGAGGGUGACCGGCAAGAUGGGGGGAGAGAUACGGCCGGGACGGCGACGGGAGGCAGCAGUGGGGAAUGUUGGACAAUGGGAGGGAGUGUGAUGCAGCAACGCGGCGGGGGGGAUGACGGCCUUCGGGUAGUAGAACGCGUCCGCCUGGGACGCAGCGUGAGUGACGGUGAUGUGUAAAGAAGCACCGGCUAACUACGUG
rnacentral:rRNA from 1 species